GUGUCAGCCGCCGCGGUAAGACGAACCGAGCGAACGUUGUUCGGAAUCACUGGGCUUAAAGGGCGCGUAGGCGGGCUGUCAAGUUUGGGGUGAAAUCCCGCGGCUCAACCGUGGAACUGCCUCAAAUACUGACGGUCUCGAGGGGGAUAGGGGCGAGCGGAACUAAUGGUGGAGCGGUGAAAUGCGUUGAUAUCAUUAGGAACUCCGGUGGCGAAGGCGGCUCGCUGGAUCUCUUCUGACGCUGAGGCGCGAAAGCUAGGGGAGCAAACGGGAUUAGAAACCCCGGUAGUCC
rnacentral:rRNA from 1 species